rnacentral:rRNA from 1 species
CAUCGGAACGUAUCCCGUAGUGGGGGAUAACCCGGCGAAAGCCGGGCUAAUACCGCAUAUGCUCUACGGAGGAAAGCGGGGACCCGGCAGGCAACUGAGGGGCCUCGUGCUAUGGGAGCGGCCGAUGUCCGAUUAGCUAGUUGGUGGGGUAAAGGCUUACCAAGGCUUCGAUCGGUAGCUGGUCUGAGAGGAUGAUCAGCCACACUGGGACUGAGACACGGCCCAG